AAUGGAGGAAACUCUGAUGCAGCGACGCCGCGUGAGUGAAGAAGGUCUUCGGAUCGUAAAACUCUGUCCUUGGUGAAGAAGAAAAUGACGGUAGCCAAGGAGGAAGCCCCGGCUAACUACGUGCCAGCAGCCGCGGUAAUACGUAGGGGGCGAGCGUUGUCCGGAUUUACUGGGCGUAAAGGGUGAGUAGGCGGUUAUAUAAGUCAGAUGUAAAAGGCACAGGCUUAACUUGUGUAAGCAUUUGAAACUGUAUAACUUGAGUGCAGGAGAGGUAAGUGGAAUUCCUAGUGUAGCGGUGAAAUGCGUAGAUAUUAGGAGGAACACCAGUGGCGAAGGCGACUUACUGGACUGUAACUGACGCUGAGUCACGAAAGCGUGGGUAGCAAA
rnacentral:rRNA from 1 species